rnacentral:rRNA from 1 species
UACGAAGGGGGCUAGCGUUGCUCGGAAUCACUGGGCGUAAAGCGCACGUAGGCGGAUUGCUAAGUCAGGGGUGAAAUCCUGGAGCUCAACUCCAGAACUGCCUUUGAUACUGAAGAUCUUGAGUUCGGGAGAGGUGAGUGGAACUGCGAGUGUAGAGGUGAAAAUUCGUAGAUAUUCGCAAGAACACCAGUGGCGAAGGCGGACUCACUGGCUCGAUACUGACGCUGAGGUGCGAAAGCGUGGGGAGCAAACAGG